UGAGUAACACGUAUCCAACCUGCCGUCUACUCUUGGACAGCCUUCUGAAAGGAAGAUUAAUACAAGAUGGCAUCAUGAGUCCGCAUAUUCACAUGAUUAAAGGUAUUCCGGUAGACGAUGGGGAUGCGUUCCAUUAGAUAGUAGGCGGGGUAACGGCCCACCUAGUCUUCGAUGGAUAGGGGUUCUGAGAGGAAGGUCCCCCACAUUGGAACUGAGACACGGUCCAA
rnacentral:rRNA from 1 species